rnacentral:rRNA from 1 species
UACGUAGGGGGCAAGCGUUGUCCGGAUUUAUUGGGCGUAAAGAGCGUGUAGGCGGCCAGACAGGUCCGUUGUGAAAACUCGAGGCUCAACCUCGAGACGUCGACGGAAACCGUCUGGCUAGAGUCCGGAAGAGGAGUGUGGAAUUCCCGGUGUAGCGGUGAAAUGCGCAGAUAUCGGGAAGAACACCCGUGGCGAAGGCGGCUCUCUGGGACGGUACCGACGCUGAGACGCGAAAGCGUGGGGAGCGAACAGG